UACAGAGGUCUCAAGCGUUGUCCGGAUUUAUUGGGCGUAGAGAGCUCGUAGGCGGCUCGUCGCGUCAGCUGUGAAAACCCGCGGCUUAACCGUGGGCUUGCAGCUGAUACGGGCGGGCUAGAGUUCGGUAGGGGAGACUGGAAUUCCUGGUGUAGCGGUGAAAUGCGCAGAUAUCAGGAGGAACACCGGUGGCGAAGGCGGGUCUCUGGGCCGAUACUGACGCUGAGGAGCGAAAGCGUGGGGAGCGAACAGG
rnacentral:rRNA from 1 species